rnacentral:rRNA from 1 species
CCUACGGGUGGCUGCAGUGGGGAAUAUUGGACAAUGGGCGAAAGCCUGAUCCAGCCAUGCCGCGUGUGUGAAGAAGGCCUUCGGGUUGUAAAGCACUUUCAGUGGGGAAGAAAGCCUUGGGGCUAAUACCCUCGAGGAAGGACAUCACCCACAGAAGAAGCACCGGCUAACUCCGUGCCAGCAGCCGCGGUAAUACGGAGGGUGCGAGCGUUAAUCGGAAUUACUGGGCGUAAAGCGCGCGUAGGCGGUCUGAUAAGCCGGUUGUGAAAGCCCCGGGCUCAACCUGGGAACGGCAUCCGGAACUGUCAGGCUAGAGUGUAGGAGAGGAAGGUAGAAUUCCCGGUGUAGCAGUGAAAUGCGUAGAGAUCGGGAGGAAUACCAGUGGCGAAGGCGGCCUUCUGGACUGACACUGACGCUGAGGUGCGAAAGCGUGGGUAGCAAACAGGAUUAGAUACCCGAGUAGUC